CGUCGGACCCCUCUCCCCCGAUUCAGAUCCACCCUUCGCCGCCGCUGCCACCUACCUCAAGCCGAUCCCGCCGCCAGCGCCCACGCGCCACCACCGCUCUUCCUCUGCCCGCCGACCCACCCCGUCCCUGAGGCCUCGCUCGCCGCCUUCCGCCGCGGGGCAGAACCCAACCCAAGCCUCUCCGCGGACCAACUCCUCUCCCCCAACCCCGCCGCCGCGGGCCUCCUCUUAUCCAACCCCGGGCUCUCUAGCAUCGGUGCACCGCUGCCGCCCCCACCCUCUCCCCUUCCCAAGCUGCUCAGGCGGCGCCCAGAUCUGCCACCGCCGUCCUCUACAACCACGCCCAUGUAGCGGCAGAUGAAGGAGGAGUUAGGGGCGGAGCGGCAGGGCCCUUCCUCCGCCUCCGUGGUCCAUGGCGUCUACGGGCCAUUCCUCUGCCUCUACCUCGCCGACUCUCGCCGCCUCUGUGGAGUGAAGAUCUUGACAGGACUGCCUCCCUCCCCUGCCUCGCUCCCCACGGCGGUGAGGCGAGACUGACCGGCGACGCGCGGCCAGGCUACAUAAAGGUUUGAAGUAGCCUACCCAACAAUAAAGGAGCUGGCUCUUGUUGGUACUCCUGGCUCUAAGGCUGUUUAGCCAGCAUCGCAUCAGCUUUUGCCGUUGGUUGUGAAGGCAAUUCAAGAAAAUAAUGUAGAGCUUGACAAGGAGGCCAUUGAUGUGUUCAUUUGGUGCUUGACUCAGAGUCCAGAGUCCUACAAGCUGUGGGACAAGCUUCAUGCAGAGAAUACCCAAGCUACAAUUUACUGCAAUUCACAUGUUUUGAAUUCUUCAAUCUUGAAUUGUUCAGUGAUGAUAGCUAUCUUGCACCGUACUAUAAAAUCAUGGAUCGGCAACUAGCUGGUUGUCAAUCCGUUCUUGCUAGAUGUAUCGUUGUUUUUCUUCUUCUAAGAUAAGAUGGUAGCAUCACAAGUCAUCCUAUCAUGAUGUACUAGUUCCUGAAGUGUAAGAUAAGAUGGUGGCAUCAGAUGUGUGUUCUGACUUGUGACUGCUUACUAGAUGGAUACAUGCAGCUAGCUAGCAACCUAGCAGUACUAGUAAGAAUAUGUGUGUUUAAUUCUCUCCCUAUACCUUGUGAUUGAUUCUAGGUAUAUAUAGAUGCCAUCUCUGUCUGGCAACAUAUGGACCUGAUUACAUUCAGGUGCAUAUACUAUACUUGAACAAUCAUUCAUAGUGUGGUGUUUCAGCUAGGAAUGUUGAUUAAUUUAGCAUGCUUAUGAUUAAUUCAACUUGUUUUUUUAUAUCAGGUGCUCAUUGAGCUAUCUAAGAACAAGUAGAUCAUCAUUUCACCAUCUUCGGCCGCCCCAGGAUGCUGGCCUUCAUUCUUCAAAAGUUGGGUGUACAGGAGCUCUAGGAAGAAGAAUCCCGAAGAAAAACCACACCCAGCAAUGCAUUUUUAGCUCACUGGAGAUAGUUAUGUGUGAAGCUAGUUAUGUGUAUAUUUAGUUGUAUUUUAUAGCUAAAUACUAGAUUUGUACUAUGUACUUUGCUUGGCUAUUGUAAUGUAAUCUCAGUUUUGGGUGUACAGGAUUGUAAUGUACUUUGCUUGGCUGUUGUAUGAAAUCUUAUGCCUUAUUGGCUCUUUUUGAAUCACAUUAUCUAAUUGCAGAAA